AGGGUUCGAUCAUGGCUCAGAACGUACGCUGGCGGCACGCCUAACACAUGCAAGUCGAACGCAGUAGCAAUACUGAGUGGCAAACGGGUGAGUAUAAUGUGGGAAUCUGCCUUUUGGUUCGGAAUAACACGAGGAAACUUGUGCUAAUACCGGAUAAGCCCUUACGGGGAAAGUUUUAAUGCCAAAAGAUGAGCCCGCACUUGAUUAGCUAGUUGGUAAGGUAAAAGCUUACCAAGGCAACGAUCAAUAGCUGUUCUUAGAGGAAGACCAGCCACAUUGGGACUGAGACACGGCCCAGACUCCUACGGGAGGCAGCAGUGGGGAAUCUUGCACAAUGGGGGAAACCCUGAUGCAGCGAUGCCGCGUGAGUGAAGAAGGCCCUUGGGUUGUAAAACUCUUUCGUCGGGGAAGAAAAUGACUGUACCCGAAUAAGAAGGUCCGGCUAACUUCGUGCCAGCCGCCGCGGUAAUA
rnacentral:rRNA from 1 species